GAAACUCGUGCUAAUACCGCAUACGUCCUACGGGAGAAAGUGGGGGAUCUUCGGACCUCACGCUAUUGGAUGAGCCCAAGUCGGAUUAGCUUGUUGGUGGGGUAAAGGCCUACCAAGGCGACGAUCCGUAGCUGGUCUGAGAGGACGAUCAGCCACACUGGGACUGAGACACGGCCCAGACUCCUACGGGAGGCAGCAGUGGGGAAUAUUGGACAAUGGGGGCAACCCUGAUCCAGCAAUGCCGCGUGUGUGAAGAAGGCCUGCGGGUUGUAAAGCACUGUCAGUAGAGAAGAAAAGCUUAGGGUUAAUAGCUCUGAGUCUUGACGUAACCUACAGAAGAAGCACCGGCUAACUCCGUGCCAGCAGCCGCGGUAAUACGGGGGGUGCAAGCGUUAAUCGGAAUUACUGGGCGUAAAGCGCGCGUAGGCGGCUUGGUCAGUUGGAUGUGAAAGCCCCGGGCUUAACCUGGGAAUUGCAUUCGAUACUGCC
rnacentral:rRNA from 1 species